CUUGCAGGGACCAGCAGAAAGUGGCAUCAGCAGCACCGGGUGGAGAAAAGAUGCCAAGGGAAACUGAGGCACAGAACAGCAAGGGGAGAUGUCCCACACCUGUGGGACUGAGUGCCCUGGCCUGACCCUGCACACUGGUCCCUCAUCACUAAUAAGUGAUCCCAAAAGAACAGCAGGGCCUGACCCUCCCAAGGAGUCCCAGGCCUGGGGUGUGUCAGCCCCUUGUCAGUGCAGUGCUGGAGCCACUGGUGGCAGUUUGGACAUCCAUGUGUGGCCUCACACACCUGGACACCCCCUGUCCCCACACACGUGCCCACAGAGCUCUGUGGGGUGACCCAUGGAGCAGCCCAUGGAGCCAGGCUGCGAACAACUCCACUGCCAUGUCCCUCCCUUCUCCAGGGACAGCCCCACUGCCAUCCCCCUCCCCCAGGUCCUUAGGCUGCCGCAGCUGACUCAGCCCCAGCCCCUGCCCCAGCACAUCCGUUCUGCUGGCUCUCUGCUUCCCAACAGCCCCAGGAAUGGCAGAGUGGACACACGCCAGGGUGGGUGUCAGCACUGAGGUUACCUCCCUCCCACCCCUCGCUCUGGGAGGCUCUCACCCCCUUCUGCCCCCCAUUGCCUGUCAAAGCACUCCUGACUCCCAGGAAGCCAGAGUGAUGCCCCUGGUGAUGCAGCAGGACUGUGUGGCACUCCCAGCUCAGGCACACGCCAUUUCCACAGCCCCCACCCUCACAACCACCAUCCUGGCAGGAGGUUCGGGGUCCCCCCGAUGCCCCCAGAGCCUUUCCCCACAGCCAGGGAUGCGCCACAGGCUCUUCCCAACCCCACUAAGGUCUCUCAAUGUAUUUUUGGGUGCUGUCUCAUGGCAUCUCCUCCCUGCUUCUGCCAGCGCCACAGCCCUGGGGCAGCAGAGCUGGCUCUAGCAGGAUUUGUCUGCUCCGCUCAUCAUCAGCACAUCACCCGUGUGUGCAGGCACACGUGUGUCACACACACACAUUCGUGUCACACACACACUCAUGUCACACACACACGCGUCACAGGCACACGUGUGACACGGACACACUGAUGUCACACACACACACUCUAGUGUCACACACACACACCAGUGUCACACACACACACCAGUGUCACACACGCAGACGUGUCACAAUCACACUCGUGUCACACACACACUCACGUCACACACACACAUUCGUGUCACACACACACAUACAUGUCACACACACACUCCUGUCACACACACACACUCAUGUCACAGACACACACCCCCCCAUGUCACACACACACACUCGUGUCACGCACACCCAUGUCACACACACUCUUGCCUGCUUGUGCACACACACCAGUGCAAGCAUUCACACUCACAUUAUCAUGCACCUCUUUAAAGCCACCUUUUCCGAGCCAAACGGCAAUUCUGGAAAAUUCUGAACAGGAAUACUUUCCUCUUUCAGCUCAAUCAGUCUGACACCCCCAUCCCCCAGCACCCACUGUGGCCCAAUGCCACCCUCCUGCCUUGGUAGUCAGCUUUGAGCUGCAAGUGUGGCUCAACUUUGGGUUUAUUUUCCACCCCAAACCCUUGUUUGGAUGAAAAAA
rnacentral:lncRNA from 12 species